rnacentral:rRNA from 1 species
AUUGAACGCCGGCGGCAGGCCUAACACAUGCAAGUCGAGCGGUAGCACAGAGAGCUUGCUCUCGGGUGACGAGUGGCGGACGGGUGAGUAACGUCUGGGAAACUGCCCGAUGGAGGGGGAUAACUACUGGAAACGGUAGCUAAUACCGCAUAACGUCGCAAGACCAAAGUGGGGGACCUUCGGGCCUCACACCAUCGGAUGUGCCCAGAUGGGAUUAGCUAGUAGGUGGGGUAAUGGCUCACCUAGGCGACGAUCCCUAGCUGGUCUGAGAGGAUGACCAGCCACACUGGAACUGAGACACGGUCCAGACUCCUACGGGAGGCAGCAGUGGGGAAUAUUGCACAAUGGGCGCAAGCCUGAUGCAGCCAUGCCGCGUGUAUGAAGAAGGCCUUCGGGUUGUAAAGUACUUUCAGCGGGGAGGAAGGCGGUGAAGUUAAUAACUUCACCGAUUGACGUUACCCGCAGAAGAAGCACCGGCUAACUCCGUGCCAGCCGCCGCCGUAACAC